rnacentral:rRNA from 1 species
AUUGAACGCUGGCGGAAUGCUUUACACAUGCAAGUCGAGCGGCAGCGCGGCCUUCGGGCUGGCGGCGAGCGGCGAACGGGUGAGUAAUGCAUCGGAACAUGCCCAGUCGUGGGGGAUAACACUUCGAAAGAAGUGCUAAUACCGCAUACGUCCUGAGGGGGAAAGCGGGGGAUCGCAAGACCUCGCGCGAUUGGAGUGGCCGAUGUCAGAUUAGCUAGUUGGUGGGGUAAAGGCCUACCAAGGCGACGAUCUGUAGCUGGUCUGAGAGGAUGAUCAGCCACACUGGGACUGAGACACGGCCCAGACUCCUACGGGAGGCAGCAGUGGGGAAUUUUGGACAAUGGGGGCAACCCUGGUCCAGCCAUUCCGCGUGAGUGAAGAAGGCCUUCGGGUUGUAAAGCUCUUUCAGCAGGAACGAAACGGUGGGCUCUAACAUAGUCCGCUAAUGACGGUACCUGAAGAAGAAGCACCGGCUAACUACGUG